UCCACCCGGACUCUCACGGGAGCCGGACUCCACCCACUACCCCAACCGCAAGGAGGACUCCGCCCGGACCCCUACGUGGGGUCAAACUCCGACCACAGCCAAACUUCAGCCGAUAGAUCUGCACUCCCAGGCCACAAUCACGGCCACGAUUCUGCUACACUUCUUGCAGCGGAUUUCGCACAGCUCCACCACUCCCUGACAGGCCNN
rnacentral:lncRNA from 1 species